UCAAAGUUCGGAUCAACAUGCAGAUAUCUUCACCAAGGUAGCAAAUUCAAGGGUGUGCAAAUUCAUUCUAAGUAAGCUUGGCUUAGUUGAUAUUCACAAACCUAAAAUGUGAUUGUUGUGCUCUUUUCCCUUAUCCAUGGUUUUUCCCAUUGGGUUUUCCUAGUAAGGUUUUUAACAAGGCAACUCCAUUCUAGGCAUGAUCUCCUUAUGCCAAGCUUGAGGGGGAAUGUUGGAAAGCAUCAUAUUGGAAAUCAUCAUCAUUAAUGUCUUGUCUCUCUCCUUCAUGCAAGCCAUUUAUAACAG
rnacentral:lncRNA from 1 species